GAGUUGUUGUGAUUGCUGCGUAAGCGGUUUGGAGCAGAGGUUGCAGCUGCUGCUGAUUGCAGGCCGAAAAGAAAGGGUUUCUUGAUGCAUUUGGUUUAUGAGUUUCGAUUAUUCGAGGAAUUGGAUGAAGAAGCAUUAUGAAGAGUUAUACUGCGUUUUGGUUUAUAAGAUGUUGUAUUAAUUAGAUUAUUUUUCUCCUCUCAUCUUUGUUAUUACGACUCUGUAAGAGGGAUAGGAGUUGUGUGUUUUAUAUGUAUAUUAUAUUAUAAGCUAUUAUAUAAGAAAUCUUGU